CCAUCACCUUUCACCCAAACCCCACUGUUGUUGGUUUUCUUGCCCUUAGAGAAUUCUUCUGUAUGAAAUCUGUACCCACUGACAGAGUACUUAGAAAACUUUUUGACUUUAGCAUUAGGUCCCCAAGCUAUAUCACGUAAAAAUUGGCCAUUUGAGUCAUAAUUAAGUGGAUUGUGAACCUAUAAAAAGUUGAAGAAAAGUUAAAAUUUAAAUAUACAUAUGACUGAACAAAAGUGUAAAUGGUGUUAAAUAUUUAAGUUACACUUACAUAUUCUCUAAACCACACUGAAAACAUAGCAUAAACAGCAGCAUCCCCGUGUAAAGCCACGAAGUAGCUGUACGACAAAGUUAUGACUUUCAUUAGUUAAAGUUUAGAUAGACCUU
rnacentral:lncRNA from 1 species